rnacentral:rRNA from 1 species
UCGACCGCGACCCCAGGUCAGACGGGACUACCCGCUGAGUUUAAGC